UACGGGGGGCGGAAGCGUUGUUCGGAAUUACUGGGCGUAAAGGGGCUCGUAGGCGGCCAACUAAGUCAUACGUGAAAUCCCUCGGCUUAACCGGGGAACUGCGUCUGAUACUGGAUGGCUUGAGUUCGGGAGAGGGAUGCGGAAUUCCAGGUGUAGCGGUGAAAUGCGUAGAUAAUCUGGAGGAACACCGGUGGCGAAGGCGGCAUCC
rnacentral:rRNA from 1 species